rnacentral:pre_miRNA from 1 species
CAGAACUAGGGUUCUAUAGUUGAAACGAGAAGUCGACUUUUCGACUUUUUCCAUUUAGUUAAAAGUUGACUUUUCGACUUUUUGCCUUUUUUGAUUUUUUGUCUAUUGCUAAAAUUCGAAAAGUGGAAAAGUCAACUUUUAACUAAAUGGAAAAAGUCGAAAAGUCGACUUCUCGUUUCAACUAUAGAACCCUAGUUCUG